GGGGGGUCUCAGAGUGGGGGCCAGUUGCAUCAGGCCCCUGGAGGGUGGGACACUGCCUUUCCAAGAGCAACAAAGUGUGGGCGAUUUGUGGUGCUGAGAAUCGUGAGCAGGCAGUUCGUCUAGAGCAGGGUUGCAAACUUUUUCUGUAAAAGGCCAGAUAGUAAAUAUGUUAGGCUUUGUGGGCCUUGUAGUCUCUGUUGCAACUACUCAGCUCUGCCCUGAUGAGGCAAAAGCAGCCACAGGCAAUGUACAAAAUGUCCGUGGCUGUGUUCCAAGAAAACUUUAUUGGCAAAAACAGGCAGUGGGCCAGAUCUAAGCCAUGGGCCGUAGUUUGCCAACCCCUGGUCUAGACCACUCCCAUUUAUAAAGUGAUUCGGCUUUAGCAGCUUCCUGGAAGGUGGUGCUGCUGGCUGAUAAAGCAGAGGGACGGAGCUUGCAGAAUUCAGCAAUGCAAGAACGGCCAAACACAAAGUUUGCUGAGCAGAGACACACGGCCAGAAAGUUAAGUGGGGGUCUCAAGCCCGACUGUGGG
rnacentral:lncRNA from 1 species